AGCCUCAUAGCUCAGUGGUUAGAGCUGCACAUACAGGAGAUCCCAGGUUUAAAUCCUGGUGUGGUCA